rnacentral:rRNA from 1 species
UACAGAGGGUGCGAGCGUUAAUCGGAAUUACUGGGCGUAAAGAGCGCGCAGGCGGUCGUUCAAGUCGCGUGUGAAAGCCCCCGGCUCAACUGGGAGGGUCACGCGAUACUGAUCGACUCGAAGGCAGGAGAGGGAAGUGGAAAUUCCCGGUGUAGUGGUGAAAUGCGUAGAUAUCGGGAGGAACACCAGUGGCGAAGGCGAACUUCCUGGCCUGUUCUUGACGCUGAGGCGCGAAAGCUAGGGGAGCAAACGGG